rnacentral:rRNA from 1 species
UACGGGGGGGGGCAAGCGUUGUUCGGAAUUACUGGGCGUAAAGGGCUCGUAGGCGGCCAACUAAGUCAGACGUGAAAUCCCUCGGCUUAACCGGGGAACUGCGUCUGAUACUGGAUGGCUUGAGGUUGGGAGAGGGAUGCGGAAUUCCUGGUGUAGCGGUGAAAUGCGCAGAUAUCAGGAGGAACACCGGUGGCGAAGGCGGGUCUCUGGGCCGAUACUGACGCUGAGGAGCGAAAGCGUGGGGGAGCGAACAGG